UUUUUUUUUUUUUUCCAGAUAGAUUACCAAGCUGGCCACGUAGACCUGAGGGUCACAUGGCUCAGGGAAGAAGGACAGAAACUGUCGCAGGAGUUAAGAGGAACGGGCAAACAAAGCCAAAGCGAGAAGUCAUCUCGUGCGGCUGCUGCACAAACAGCUCCCCGGCCACAGGGUCCUCGCAGGGAGCUCCUUCCUGCCAGAGCCGCUCCGCGGGGCCGGCGGGAGGCGCGGCCGCAGUCCGGCCGGGAGCGGCUCCUGCCUCCCCGACGGUCCCCGCUUCCCCCUGGGAGGAAGUGCGAGAAAUGACUCCCGACCCUAUAUUCUUCUAUUGUUUUGAGCCGGUGGAUCAAUUGUCAUCAGUACUGUCACCCAAGAAGCAAUGAUUCCGAUUCAUCUUGGCAUCUGAUUUUAUUCUAAUGGGUUAAAUUGGGUUCACUUUUACAAUUAUCCCAGGUUUGACUGCGUAGUAUUGCAUGACAACUCACAGUUUCAUCGGGUUUGGCAAAGCGAGGUCGCUCCAUGAAUCCGUAUAUCAUAUCACAUCAGAUCAGGCUGAAGUUUGCUGUUUAGCGACUCCAUUUGAGAGGCUUUUUAUGAAAGUGGGAAGGGUUGAUGCAGUCCAUGGUUGGUUCAAUGCGGUUUGGAAAAAAAAAUGUGGAGAGAUGGCAACAACCCGGGGUUUGCUGCUCAGCUGUGAAUAAGCACAGAACGAAAAAAACGACGUGAUGGGGAAACGCUCAGCUCGCUACAAUAUUUUUAACAGCCUCUCAGUCCUCGCCUUUUUUUAAUUUCCUAAUAUGUUCUUUGCUUUAUUAGUUUUAUUUACAACCAGCUCCCCAUUAACACCUCACCUGAUUACUGAGGAGCUGAGACAGCUAAUCAAGAAAAUCCAGCAAACCAGCCAAAAUCGAGAGGGAUCCUCUGCUAGGAGCAAGGAACAACCUCCAUCUACUGGCUAGAUCAUUGCGUCUCUUCUCCAUUCAAAACCCAUCCCUCAUCACUCAUUAAGGAGGGUACAAUUUUGGAAGAAGCUUCUAAGGUCUCAAGAUUUCCGGGAGCUACAAGCACAUUGGAGGUUUGGGGAGUUUUAAUCCGAUGCCGGUUACAGUUAAAGACACCCUGCGCUUGUGUCCCUCGCACGGCCAGCCCCGCACAGCCUGGCAGGGAGGAGAGGGGCUGGUGCCCGAGUCUGGCAGCCAUGCACCGGCUUUAACAUGUCCCUAGCACAGCGAUCCGAAAGUUGCUUUACGGAACACUCGAGAGGACUCAAGGGAGGAGAAAGAUGGUGAUGGUAAAAUAAAAUACGUUGUAUGUGACUCCGAAGUGGAAUUUUAAGUCAUGUCUUUAAAAAGAGAAAAUAAUAUUUUAAAUUGAGAUUAAAUAAACAGCAACCUAUUUGAAUACUGAAAACGGUAUUAGCUACAUUUGGUGGCACCACCAAGAGAUGUAAUUCUAUUCAAAUUUUCAUUCUUUGUGUCUAGAUUGGUUGCAGUGCACGCGGACUUUACAAAGAGAUGAAACUGAUCAUUAAUAGCACUGCACUCCACCACAAGCUCGUAGAGCAGAAAAUAGCGUUAGGAUUUAAAAAUAGACCUGGCUUUAACCACCCGACUCGCAGGCAACAGGAUCGUAAUCCUGUUGCUGUUAUUACUACGCGCGUUAAAUUUCUG